CCGAAAACGCAAGUGCGCAGACUCAAGUCCCAAGACAAUGGCGGCUUCAGUUAUUUUCGAUGGAAAAGAGCGAAGAACUUCUGAGACUGUUGGAAAGGCAAUGAACUAUAAAGCCAUAAGAUGUUCCUCUGGGUUUCCAUUACUAUCCCAUCAGCCUCUCUCUCUCUCUCUCUCUCGCUCUCUCUCGGGUGAUGUUUCAGGGAGUUUGCAGUUGUCCAAUGCCACACUGGGAGUCUUUGUCAUCCGCCGUCUUUGAUUAUGAUGUCGCCCUUGCGGAAUCCCGUGGAAUGUGGCGGAAUGCUGCAGGAAUCCAGGAAUCAUUCCAGAAUGUUUGAGCGUUAACUCUUUCAGGACAAUAGAGAGAGAGAGAUUGAAAGAGAGUGGAUGGUAGUCCUAGAGUUAAAAGCAUUUUAUUCUAUGGCGUUAGAAGUGCUUGCACAUGCAUAACUGACCACCACACACAAUGCUAAUGGUUGCUAGGGCGUUACUAUGCAAUUCUGAAGGGUAAAUCUGUAUGCAUGUUGCAUGAGUGUUGAAAUUGGUUGCUAUGGCAUUGCAAGGUGGUUGCUAGGGUGCUCUGCAUUGCUUUGUAGUUGCCAGGGUGUUUCUAUGAUGUUGCUAAGUUGUUUUUAGAUGCAUUUCCAUGCUCUGGUUAGAGAGUGGUUUUCAGAGCAGUGUUUUGUGGUUGCCUGGGUGUUGCUAUGAUGUUGCUAUGGUGUUCUGAGUGUUUUUUAUAGCAUUGCUUAGUGGUUGCCAGGGUUUUACAGUCAUGUUGCGAGGGUGUUCUGAAUGGGUUUCAGUGCAUUGCUUUGUGGUUGCUAGGAUGUUGCUAUGGGUUUGCUUGGGUGUUCUAAGUGGCUUUAAGCCUAUUGAUUAGUGGUUGCUAUGAUGUUGCCAGAGUGUUUUUAGUGCCUUGCUAUGCAGGUACGGAUACUUUCUAGUUGCUAUAGUGUUGCUCUGAGUGGUUUUCAGGGCAUUGCUUAGUGGUUCCUAGGGUGUUGCUAUGAUGUUGCUUUGGGUGUUCUAAGUGGAUUUCAGUGCAUUGUUUAAUGGUUGCCAGGGUGUUGCUAUGAUGUUGCUUUGAGUGGUCUAAGUGGUUUUCAGUGCAUUGUUUAGUGGUUGCCAGGGUGUUGCUAGAGAGUUUUUAGGUGCAUUGAUAUACAGGUAUGGAAACUUUCUGGUUGCUAGGGUGUUCUAAGUGGCUUUAAGCCUAUUGAUUAGUGGUUGCCAUGGUGUUGCUAUGAUGUUGCCAGAGUGUUUUUAAUGUAUUGAUUAUCCUUAAUACAUUGAGGAUACACUGGUUUCAAAACACUAGUUUCCAGGGUGUUGCCAUGAUGUUGCUUGGGUGUUCUAAGUCGUUUUCAGAGCAUUGUUUAGUAGUUGCCAGGGUGUUGCUAUAAUGUUGCUAGAGAGUUCUUCGGUGCAUUGAUAUGCAGGUAUGGAAACUUUAUGGUUGCUAGGGUGUUCUGAGUGGCUUUAAGCCUAUUGAUUAGUGGUUGCCAUGGUGUUGCUAUGAUGUUGCCAGAGUGUUUUUAAUGUAUUGAUUAUCCUUAAUACAUCGAGGAUACACUGGUUUCAAAACACUAGUUUCCAGGGUGUUGCUAUGAUGUUGCUUGGGUGUUCUAAGUCGUUUUCAGAGCAUUGUUUAGUGGUUGCCAGGGUAUUGCUAUAAUGUUGCUAGAGAGUUCUUCGGUGCAUUGAUAUGCAGGUAUGGAAACUUUAUGGUUGCUAGGGUGUUCUGAGUGGCUUUAAGCCUAUUGAUUAGUGGUUGCCAUGGUGUUGCUAUGAUGUUGCCAGAGUGUUUUUAAUGUAUUGAUUAUCCUUAAUACAUCGAGGAUACACUGGUUUCAAAACACUAGUUUCCAGGGUGUUGCUAUGAUGUUGCUUGGGUGUUCUAAGUCGUUUUCAGAGCAUUGUUUAGUGGUUGCCAGGGUAUUGCUAUGAUGUUGCUAGAGAGUUCUUAGGUGCAUUGAUAUGCAGGUAUGAAAACUUUAUGGUUGCUAGGGUGUUCUAAGUGGCUUUAAGCCUAUUGAUUAGUGGUUGCCCUGGUGUUGCUAUGAUGUUGCCAGAGUGUUUUUAGUGCAUUGCUAUGCAGAUACUGAUACUUUUACUGAUAGUUGCUAGGGUGUUCUGAGUGCUUUUCUUUUCAUUGCUUAAUGGUUGCCAGGGUGUUGCUAAUGGUUGCCAGGGAGUUUGCUAAGGUGCUUUUUCGGUGCAUUGCUAUAUGCGGUAACUAAAAUGUUGUGUGUUUUUUAGAGCAUUGCUUAGUGGUUGCAAGGAUGUUGAAGUUAAAAGAGACACAGUUUGAGAAUUAUUCAUGUCUGCAACAAACAGUGUGAGACGUUUAACAGUGUUGGAACAGUAAGUAUGUUCUGCAAACUCCACUUAAAAUUAAACAUGCAACUAAUGGAUAAAACACUCAUUUGAUGUAUUGUCUGUUAGUGUAGCCAUGCAAUAGUGUGUUUAGCGCAAAGGGAGAAUAUAAACUGUCUGUUUCCUGUGUGUGUGAGUGAGAGAGAGAGAAACAAAUAUAUUAAGAUAAACAUCAGGAUGUACGCUAGAGUUUCUGUGUCAACACUGUGCACACUGGCCCUGGUUACCCACAACACACACACACAGUGUCCCUCAGGAGGUAAAUCACCACACACCCUCCUCCGUCAGCUGAGGGUCAGGGAAAGCGGGCACAGUCUGGAUCAGACCAGCUUUCGUACUGUCACUCAGGCCCACACCUGGAUCAUGUGUGCAUGAUGUACUGUAAUGUUGUGUGUCCUCUUGAAAUCUAUUGAUUCAGUGUUUAAACAUUGACACUUUAUGAAUCCAAACUGUCUAAUCUAAUUGUUAAGGGUAAUGCUACUGUUGUUUACAUAGUAAAAUACAUUUGAAUUACUACUGUAUAUGAUUUUUAUGCCUAUAAUGGGAAUAUUUACAGAACCAAAACAAUGACAUUUUAUAAAUCCAAUUUCCAAUCAAAAUUGUGUAAAUUAAUUGCAUUUUAAUAGCUUGAGUCUGUGAGUUUACUGUACAAUAGCAGUAUAUACAGUAAUUUGCUUUUUAAAAUAAAAGUCUUCUUGGGGAAAUUCCUGGAAAUAAUUACAAGUUUGGAAAUUGCAUGUAUUUCUGUAUGCACUGUGUACCCAGAAUACAAGGCUGGCUGGUAUUUCAGAUACAUGUAUUUUAAAUACGUAAUUUGUAAUUAAAUAUUUUUUCUGGAAGAAGG